AAUCAAGCAUUCUUAUAGAGGCAGAAACAACAACAUAGCACAUGCUGCAAUUGCUUCAACAUUUUAUGGAGACCUUGGCAUUCAGGAAGAUGAUAUAUUUGUCUCUGAUGGUGCAAAAUGUGACAUAUCCUGCCUGCAGAUUCUUUUUGGAUCUAAUGUCACAACGGCGG